UUCUUUUGUUUUGAAUAUAGCUUGAAAUAAAUGAGCCAUUGUCUGGGCUCAGAAUAUUCUGGUUGGAAAGAGAUCUCCACUGUGAUGCAAUUUAUUGUAGCAGGAUUUUUUCCAGCUCAGCUUUGAUUCCCUCUUGCCCGCUCAGUCCUUUCUCACAGCUCAGGAGAUCAGUGGGGAGAGUUGAGCCCAAAGUGGAAAAAAGAAAUAAAAACCGAGGAUCGUGUUUGCUCAAGCGUGAGGUCCAGAGACCUGAAUGGAGUCUGGUCCCAGAGUGCAACGACUGCCAAGAAGAGAGAAAGAUUUGCCCCAUGGAUCUGGGGACAGUCCGCCAUCUGAAGAGGAAUGCUCUUCCUACAGAAGACUUCUGAGCAGCAUCAGGAAGGACAGACAGCCCUAAGUCAAGAUAUGGAGGUGUGGCAAGGCCCAGGGCUGCCUGGCAUCAGACCUCGGAAGAGACUCCCACAGUGCCCUUCUCAAGUGCCUCCCUUCCUCUGAUCACUUGGAAAACUGCUGCACGCUGGCCUCUGUUCUCACCAUACUACCGGUAACCACCUCCAGCAUCCUCUAAGACUCCUACCUAAGACUCCUAUUCAAGGCCAAGUGCUACCUAGUGGUAGAAGCCCAGCACCAUUCUACACAAGGCCACUUGUUUUCAGCAUAGCUCUUCUUACUUUCCAUACCAGUGCCUCCUUGGUGGUCGUGCAAAAACUCACAAUGUUUUAAAAAUAAAUAAAAAUGGG